rnacentral:lncRNA from 1 species
AGUAGCAUCAGCACGAGGGCCACAGCGGCGGGCGCCCCUGGCGCUGCCCACUCCCCCGUGAGCCGCGGGAUGUGAACCACGAAAACCCUCACUCGCGGCGGGCCGCACGCGCGCCGAAUCCGGAGGGUCACCAAGAACCUGCGCACCAUGUUCUCGCCGCCUCCAGGGCCGAGCUCGGCAGCCGCUGCGCCGCCCUUUGGCACCAGAGAUUUGGAAAACAAGCGAAAUUAAACUAAACCGCUGCACGCCUCUGACGCGACAUCUGGACACGGCGCGGCGCUGGCGCUGCCGGAGCUGUCGACCCGGCCUGGCGCCGGACUAGGACUAUUUGCCACGACAUUUCAAAGGAUUCCAAGAGAGAAUAUUGGUGUCCAUGCUGUGAUGAUUCCUCAGCUCCUCUCAUCUGAUCUCCGUCCUGGCCCCCAUGACUUUCUUUGUGGUAGUUAGGGUGUGGUAUGUGCCACUGAGGCCCACACCUAUUGCUGUAAGUGCUGUUUGGGAAACCAUCAUCUUUCAGGUCUGUGUGAUAAAAGAAGAGCCUUGGGGAAAUGUUCUCUUCCAAAUUUAAUCUUUACAUUAUUAGAAAAUAUUUUGAUGACCUGUUUUCAAAUAUUUUCUUAUAACUUUCCAUUUUCAUGUGUUUAUUCUGACAGUUUAUUUUAUCUUGUAUUUAUAAUCACUAAGAUGUUAGUAUUGUAAUAUUAAUAUUACAUGAUUUAAAUUAGGAAAAAUGUGUUUUCUAUUACAAAAUGGAUAGUGGAUAAUUUAAGUAUAGAAAGUAAUAUUUUCUAUAUGGGACUAUUUCACUCUCUGUAAUAUCCUGAAUUCUAAUUCCCACUGUAGUGAGCUAUAACUUUACUAAUCAGUUUUCUUACAAUCGAUUUUAAGUCUAUUUUGUUAGAUCUAAAGACAUAAAGCCAAAAGUUCUUCUUGAAGAGAAGCACAUUUCAGUUACGUUUAUAACUUGAAAUAUCUGGUUUUACUCAAAACUCACAUGUCAUACUGAAAAACAGAAGGGAGAUGUUGUCUUUUCUUGAGGAGAGACUUCUCUGCAGUUAAACAGCUCACCACAUGUUUAGAGUACAUAGACAAUACACUUCCUCUUUUGUAAUGUAGAUUUCAGCUUUUUGCUUGUAGAAUUAUCAUUGGCGUGGAGGUUAUACAGGGGAAGUAGUGAAAAAUGUAGCCAAUACCAGGAACCUUAGGAAGUGUCUGAACUUCAUCUUUUCUGUGUUCCUUUGCCCUUAGGGGGUCAGUGUAAGAGUUUGGGCUAGGAAGAGAUUGCUUCUUUUACUCUAUUUAGUUUGUACUUCCUAUCUGGGUAUUUGACAAUAAAUGACUCAUUCUCUUUGUUUGCCCU